UACAGAGGGGGCAAGCGUUGUUCGGAAUUACUGGGCGUAAAGGGCGCGUAGGCGGCCUACUAAGUCGGACGUGAAAUCCCCGGGCUCAACCCGGGAACUGCGUCCGAUACUGGAAGGCUUGAAUCCGGGAGAGGGAUGCGGAAUUCCAGGUGUAGCGGUGAAAUGCGUAGAUAUCUGGAGGAACACCGGUGGCGAAGGCGGGUCUCUGGGCAAUUCCUGACGCUGAGGCGCGAAAGCGUGGGGAGCAAACGGG
rnacentral:rRNA from 1 species